rnacentral:tRNA from 1 species
GAGGGGUGGCAGAAUCAAAUGCUUUAGGCCUAAGACCUAACAAUGAGGCUAGAACUCCCCCUCC